AUUGAACGCUGGCGGCACGCCUAACACGUGCAAGUCGAGCGGUAACAUGAUCUGUAGCAAUACAGAUUGAUGACGAGCGGCGGACGGGUGAGGAACACGUAGGAAUCUACCUUAGAGAGGGGGACAACCAAGGGAAACUUUGGCUAAUACCGCAUAAUCUCGAGAGAGAAAAGCUGCCCGCAAGGGUGGCGCUUUAAGAGGAGCCUGCGUCCGAUUAGCUAGUUGGUGAGGUAAAGGCUCACCAAGGCGAUGAUCGGUAACUGGUCUGAGAGGACGACCAGUCACACUGGGACUGAGACACGGCCCAGACUCCUACGGGAGGCAGCAGUGGGGAAUCUUGGACAAUGGGGGCAACCCUGAUCCAGCGAUGCCGCGUGGGUGAAGAAGGCCUUCGGGUUGUAAAGCCCUUUAGGUUGGGAAGAAGGUUAGUCGUUUAAGAGAUAGCUAACUUGACUGUACCGACAGAAUAAGCACCGGCAAACUCCGUGCCAGCAGCCGCAGUAACAC
rnacentral:rRNA from 1 species